AGGGGGCUCCAUGUAUUCUUAUUUACAGCUAGUAACAUUGAUAUGCUUUGAGGUCGGGAGGGAUGCAUAUGGUGCAGAUGGAACCCUGGUGCCCAACCGACACUAUGAGGCGAAAGCUGGACUGAGCAAGCUGAAUUCGAGACCUGGGACUGCCACUCCGUACACCAUCCGACCUGAGGGUUCACUAUGCAUCUUUCGAGGAUGUGGCAAACUCUGCCCGAUCACCUCCCCGCGAGCGAUGAACUACCUUGGUGUGUAAAGUCCUUUUAUCUGAGAAGAGCCCCCACAGUUGAAGCAUUUGGUUGCCGAAACCUGAUGAAUAAGCCCAACCUAAUUAUGUCUCGACAUCCUCGCUGGGACAUACCGAGCGGGUGCUAUCCUUCGUUAUUGGGCGCAGCCGUUGCGUAGGUGGCCUAGUAUCUCGUUGGGGUAUGGUCGGCUCUCUCCGUUGACCGGCUCUUGACUCUGCUUAACUUGCACUAGACUGAGGCGACUGCACUUCCGUGUGUAGAGGUAGGAGGCGAUAACAUCUGGACGACCUGGACAUUCUUACGCGGGCCGCUGGCGUCUUAACUGAGGCUGACGCACGCAAGCGUGGCGAGCACACAGGAUUAGAUACCCUGGGAGUCGCCGCCGAUCACAAUGAGUACUCAAUGUCGCGCUUAUACCGGUACGAGAUGUUAACAAUUAAGUACUCCGCCUGAGUAGUCGUACGCACUAUGAAACUUAAAGAUUUCCCCGGAGAUCGCACACCGGGGGGAUUAAAGUGGUUAAUUCGAAGAUCCCCAAAAACCUUACCAGUCUUGACCUGUUUUGCGAAACGGUAGUAAUAUCGUGGAGGUAUCAGAACUCAGGUGGUGCAUGGUUGUCGUCAGCUCCUGUCGUGAGAUGUUAGGUUAAGUCCUAAAACGAGCGAAACCCCUAUCGUUAGUUGCCAGCACGUUAUGGGUGGGGACUUUAACGAGACUGCCAGUGAUAAAUUGGAAGAGGGUGAGGAUCA
rnacentral:sRNA from 1 species